ACCUAUCUCCUAAGUAAAGAAUCUGCCUGCAAUGCAGAUGACCAGGGUUCGAUCCCUGGGUUGGGA
rnacentral:tRNA from 1 species